GAGCUAUCCCUUCAAGAAACAUCACAUUCCAUUCUCCUUGCAAGAAGUGUAAAAACUCUCCUUAUCCAGCACGUGAAUCAAUCCUUGGUGCCUUCAAAAGCAAAAUGAAUCUUCAUUCCUCACGAAAAACCGUGAGCUCCUCUCAUUGGACGUUCUAGCAAAACCCCAAAAUGAGAGUGACGACUCUGUUUUUUAUCUCCAAAAAUGCUGAGACCAUGUUCCCC
rnacentral:lncRNA from 1 species